rnacentral:misc_RNA from 1 species
AAUUCUCAACCUUUCAAGCUUUUGUUGAAGUCUUGUCAGGCUUGGAUUUUGGGAGUGUGCUGGUUCUAGACAGUCAGCUCUCCUUAAAUGUAUUAGCAAGAUUAAUCGCUGAAUCACCUUUGAUAUGAUAAUUAUCUAUAUCAUUGAUGAACCGGUGUUUUCCUCACAAGGAAAGAUCUGGCUUCUAACUGUCUUCAAAGACAAUUUAUUUCAAUC